rnacentral:tRNA from 1 species
GGCGGGGUAGCUCAGCUGGUUAGAGCAUACGGCUCAUACCCGUAGUGUCGGAGGUUCAAGUCCUCUCCCCGCUACCA